rnacentral:lncRNA from 1 species
CCAUAUAGAGCUUCCAAUCACCAACCUUCUCUCUAAAGUCCACCACGUGCUCCUUGCUUGUGGUGAUAUGCCUUGUUGCACCCGAGUCAAUUCACCAACCAUCUGAUGGAGUAACCGUGAGAGAUUCUUCUACUACGAAUGCAAUAUCCUUUGGGUGAUCGGGUCCUCUCCAUCUUCUUUAGUGGGGCCCUACAAAAUUUGGCAAUAGGACCAAAAUUGUUACAAUUAAAACAUCUUUUUAACCUUUCAAAGAAUUUUCCGUUUUUCUUGUCUUCUUUCUUUGUUUCCUCAUUGCUUUCUUUAUUCUCCUUUCUUUUCUUAUGAUUGGGUCUAGGAUACCCUUUUUGAGUAGCCAAAUAAGCCUGUUGAUGGGCUCUUUCAUUUUUCUAUUUGGCCCUAUCAUUCUCUUCCAUCCUAAGAUAUCCUAUUCAAUCAUCAAGGAUGUCGAUAGUACCAUUGUGGCGCAAGUUUUUCUUAAGGUUUUUCAUGAAUUAGGGAGAUUUUCUAUUAUCUUCAUGAUUUGCUGACGCUCAGAUAUGGGUUCUCCAUAACCGGUAAGUUGGUUAGCCAUUACAAUCAUGUCAUCAAAAAAUUCCAGCACCGAUUGGUUCUCUCUUAUUUUAUUUUGGUUGUAUUCAUGUUUUGCCAUGUAAUUGUCUUCGGUGUCUCUUUCCUCUAUAGCCUCCAAUAAGUCUUUAGCGUUAGUGUAGGGUUCAAAGACUUAUGUUAUCUGUCACUAAGGCAAUUCAAGAUAGCACCUUUACAUGUAAAAUUACCAUUUUUCCAUUUUAAGUAUCUUUGUCUUUCUCUAAGUGUAGAAUCAUCAUCAGGUUCAGAUACGAUUUCUUCUUCAAUAAUAUACAACAAACCCAUAGUAUGCAGCAAAUAAGAUACUUUACUCUUCCAAGUAAGAAAUUAUAGUCAUCAAGCUUAUCAAUCUUUACUAAAUCAGUCAAUACAGCUCUAAGAUUAGCUAUUUUUUAUACAAACUAAAAACCCCUAAGCUCUAAUACCAAUUAUUGGCCCAAAUACAAUGCAUAUUUAUAGUUUUCGGAAGUAAAUAAAGCUAUAUCAAAAUGUAAAUUGGGUUUUAAACACAAUCAGAAAUAUCAACAAACAGACGGCAUGCAACUCUUAUCAAAACAUUUUCAAAAGCUUGUUGUAACUUUCUUUAAGACUCAAAAGAAGUGCACAAAUAUCAUGAACUUUAUUAUCCACAAAGGCAUCAAAGCCUAAAAUCAAUUGCAAGUAUUAUAAACAUCUUCUAAGCAACCCCAUUGCAAUUUCCAGCUAGC